AAAUAUUUUAGGCUUUACUCAAACAUUAUAGUAUCUGGUUACUUUUUGCAUAUAAGUUGCCAUACGGAUCCGAACUCUUUUUCUGAUUUCAUCAAAUACAUCUAGAUCGAUUCUCAGUUGAUCUGAAUUACUUCCUUCAUGAAAUUUUUUUGUCCUGAUCGUUGGUAAGCCAAUCUCUAUCGGUAUUAUAGCUUUUGCUUUAAAAGUAUGUUAAAAAGGUGUUUCUCCGAUAGGCCUCCAAGGUGUAGUUCUAUAAGCCCAA
rnacentral:lncRNA from 1 species